GUCAAGUCAUCAUGGCCCUUAUGUCCAGGGCUACACACGUGCUACAAUGGGAGGCACAACGGGACGCGAGUCCGCGAGGAUUGAGCGAAACCUGGAAAGCCUUCCGUAGUUCGGAUUGAAGUCUGAAACCCGACUUCAUGAAGGUGGAAUCGCUAGUAAUCGCGCAUCAGCAUGGCGCGGUGAAUACGUUCCCGGGCCUU
rnacentral:rRNA from 1 species